UUGUGAGUGUGUUCCAGUUCCUGCCGAUAUCCUGCAACUUCACACAGCCACUGAAGACUGGACCAACAUUCCACAAUCAACAACCUAAUCAACUCUACUCAAAGGAGAUGUGUUGCACUGUGCAACGGACACCUCGACAUGAGCUCGAUCGGGCCAGGAUCGAACCAACAACCCUUGGGCUUCAGGACAACCACUCUACCCACUGAGCCUUGCCG